rnacentral:rRNA from 1 species
GGCGAGUGAAGCGGGAAGAGCUCAAAUUUGUAAUCUGGCACCUUCGGUGUCCGAGUUGUAAUCUCGAGAAGUGUUUUCCGCGCCAGACCGCAUAUAAGUCUGUUGGAAUACAGCGUCAUAGUGGUGAGAACCCCGUAACUGAUGCGGAUGCCUGGUGCUCUGUGAUACACUUUCGAAGAGUCGAGUUGUUUGGGAAUGCAGCUCAAAUUGGGUGGUAAAUUCCAUCUAAAGCUAAAUAUUGGCGAGAGACCGAUAGCGAACAAGUACCGUGAGGGAAAGAUGAAAAGCACUUUGGAAAGAGAGUUAACAGUACGUGAAAUUGUUGGAAGGGAAACGCUUGAAGUCAGACUUGCUAUUUGGAGUUCAGCCGCAAGGUGUAUUCUUCAAUUUGCAGGCCAGCAUCAGUUUUUAGGGGUGGAAAAGGGUAUUGAGAAGGUAGCAGUUUCGGCUGUGUUAUAGCUCUUUACUGGAUUCAUCCUUGGGGACUGAGGAACGCAGUACGCUUUUUGCAAGGCUUUCGGGCUUU